rnacentral:rRNA from 1 species
UACGUAGGGGGCUAGCGUUGUCCGGAAUCAUUGGGCGUAAAGAGCUCGUAGGCGGUCUGUCACGUCGGCUGUGAAAACCCGAGGCUCAACCUCGGGCCUGCAGUCGAUACGGGCAAACUGGAGUGCUGCAGGGGAGACUGGAAUUCCUGGUGUAGCGGUGAAAUGCGCAGAUAUCAGGAGGAACACCGGUGGCGAAGGCGGGUCUCUGGGCAGUAACUGACGCUGAGGAGCGAAAGCGUGGGGAGCGAACAGG